rnacentral:lncRNA from 1 species
AUGACGCGCGGCCGCUGGCUGACGCACGAGAACCGUAACGACGAAAAAGCCACAUCUGAGCCCGGCCCGGCGGCACCCGAGAAAGCAGCGCGACCUCCGCCCCGCACUCAGGACCACCCUGGAGGGAGCAGCCGCCCCGCCGCCGCCGAGACCCGAGUGAGUGAGUGGGGGACGUGCGGCCCCCGGGGACCCUCCCCGAGACCCAGCGGCCGGGCCGCUCCCCGCCCCGCUCCGGCUGUCCGCUCUGCUGGACGCUCCACGUCGCGGCCGCCCCCUCCCCCGCCCGGCCAGCGCUGUCCGUCUGCUGCCUCCCCUGCAGGACCCCCCCACAGACACCUCGUUUCCCCGUCUCCGGCCCGGGGGCACCCAGGGGCCCCCCUCGGGGACAGGGCGCGUUUCCCCAGUUCUCCAGAUCCCAGCUCGUUCCCCGGAGCAGCUAACUCCCACCUCUGUGGGAAGGAGGGGAUCAGGCCUGGUUUUGUGCUUGCGGUCUCGCGUGCCGGGUAGGGGGUGCUGCUUAGGCAGAGGGCAGCCCGAGGGGUGGCGGCCGGGUGAUGGGCACCGGUCAGCGGGGACUGCGCGUGGGCCCCGGCGCCGGGAUGCACCGCGGGAGCCGAGGUCUUUAUCCUCUUCCGUGCUCUCGGGGGAAGCCGGGCGGGCUGUGGUCUCGGCGGGGCUCGGCGGGGUGCUUGGCCGGGAGGGCCCUGCUGCCCGGGGGGUGGACGGUGCCCUUGACCGGGAGCCCGCGCCCUGCUUUCCCCGCAGCAGACCACCCGGCCUCCCUGGGCACCUGCCCCGCCGCCGUCCUCAGCACUGUGCGGAGGCGGGUGCGGGGCGCAGGCUCGCGGCGGGGGCCUCGCACCCGGAAUCGCAGGUCUCGGGCGGCGCCGCGUUUCGGAGGGGCGCUCGCCCUCGCCUGCCCGGCUCUGGCUCCUCAGCCCCGCACUGGCGGCGGCUGAGGCGGGGGCCGCCCUGGCGCCUCCCCGCAGCCCGACUGGGGGCUUGUUUGGUUUAAUUCUGCGGGCCCUCCGCCGGCCGCGGGCGCGCUGGGGCCGAGCCCGCCAGGCGACGAUGGAAAGGGCUCGGCGAUCGCGACCCCGGCCCGCCGGGCCCUGAGAGCGGACGGAGGCAGGUUGGCGGCGGGCCGCGGAGGCGGCGGCCGUGGCUUUAUUGGUGCCAGAAGAAAAUCAUUAGGCGCAGGUCGCUAGUUCAGCGGCCCGGGGAGGCCGUGAAGGGAGAGGGGGAAAAGUUCAGCCUCUCAGGCAGCCUAGACGAACAUGGUGGAGUGAUAGGAGGCGGAGAGUAGGCCUUAUGGGUAGGAUUUAUAAGAAAUUAGGCGAUGGGAGGGGGAGUCCUGCACCCCAGCGCGCAUGUGCGUCGGAAACUUUUCCUCGGCUCCCCGACCCUCGGCCAGGUCCCCUCGCUGGGCAUGCGUGGUUGGCCGGCUGGGCCCUCGCAAUGUGCCCCGGGAAGUGUAGUGUGCAGAGAAAGUAGGUCACUUGGUUCC